AGGAGGAAGACGUUUCUGUGUAGGGUAAAGGCAAACUAUGUCCAUCAUGAUGAACCCUGUGCUUGGCCAGAAAAGGAAUCCAUGAAGCCCUACAUCCAGCAGCAGCCCCACGACGUGGUCGGCGUCGGCGUCGGCGGAAAUGGCUCCCCUGAAGCUGUAGAUGUUGAAGAAUUUGUUUUGUAAUUGCACGAGGCUAAUCCUUUGUAUGUCUUGCAGGUUUUUGGAAAGAUUAACGUGGACUUGGCAAGCUACUAAAUUCAUCUGAGGGAUAACUACUCUGACCGGAGCAUGUGUUGAGG
rnacentral:sRNA from 1 species